GUGCUCACUUCAGCAGCACUUAUACUAAUUGGAAUGAUACAGAGAAGAUUAGCGUCGCCCUGUGCGAGGACGACACACAAAUUCAUAAAGGGUUCCAUGUUUUC